AAAUUCAUUUUACAAUCUGUUUUGAUUCACAUAAAUUUGUCUAAGAAUUUGUUUACUUUGUUCUUGUCUUAAUUUAAUUAUUUUCGUCCAAAAUCAACCCCAUCUUAUUUCUUUGAGUCAUAUUAAUUAGAACUUGUCUUAGAUUUUUAAGUGUUUUAGUUCAUUAGAAAACCAAAAUUCGUCCAAGUUUGUGUUAGAGUCCCAAAACUGCCCAGAUUGUGUGUUUAAGGUAGUUUUGAGUGUUUAGGGGUUGUUUUUGAGUCUUUUGGUUUGUUUUAGUGUUUUAAAGUAUAGUUUUGCAUUCUUUGAGUCUAGUUAGUGUUUUAAACUUUGUUUUUACGUUUUCAAGUCAGUUUCCAAGUGAUUUAGCAAUCCCUCCUAAUCCCCGGCCUAGAACGAUCCCUACUUACAUACUUUACUACAAUUGAUAAAAAGAGGGUUUAAUUUGUGUGCUUAUAUAUUUCGCAUCACUCAUUAAGGGAAUGAGUUCACUGAACACAAUCGAACGAGAGUACUUGCAUGGAGGUCUAGUCACAUGUCAAGCAAGUAACUCUAAUGGUUGGAAUAAUGUAAGUAGUCCUUUGACUUGAGGCAUCGUCGUUGUCUUGUGGCUAAGUACUUAAUCUUUGAUUAUGUCAAAGUCACC
rnacentral:lncRNA from 1 species